GGGGAUUACGAAAUCUCC
rnacentral:misc_RNA from 1 species